UAACGCGAAGAACCUUACCAGGUCUUGACAUACUAUGCAAAUCUAAGAGAUUAGACGUUCCCUUCGGGGACAUGGAUACAGGUGGUGCAUGGUUGUCGUCAGCUCGUGUCGUGAGAUGUUGGGUUAAGUCCCGCAACGAGCGCAACCCUUAUUAUCAGUUGCCAGCAUUAAGUUGGGCACUCUGGUGAGACUGCCGGUGACAAACCGGAGGAAGGUGGGGAUGACGUCAAAUCAUCAUGCCCCUUAUGACCUGGGCUACACACGUGCUACAAUGGAUGGUACAACGAGUUGCGAACUCGCGAGAGUAAGCUAAUCUCUUAAAACCAUUCUCAGUUCGGAUUGUAGGCUGCAACUCGCCUACAUGAAGUCGGAAUCGCUAGUAAUCGCGGAUCAGC
rnacentral:rRNA from 1 species